rfam:Tncultured Thiohalocapsa sp. PB-PSB1 scaffold_220, whole genome shotgun sequence.
GCAUCGCCCGGCUAAUCAGCCGGGCGUGGAUUGAAAC